AUUGAGCGCUGGCGGAAUGCUUUACACAUGCAAGUCGAACGGUAGAGGGGGCAACCCCUCGAGAGUGGCGAACGGGUGAGUAAUAUAUCGGAACGUGCCCAGUCGUGGGGUAUAACGUAGCGAAAGUUACGCUAAUACCGCAUACGCUCUAAGGAUGAAAGCGGGGGAUCGCAAGAACUAGAGCGAUUGGAGCGGCCGAUAUCGGAGUAGGUAGUUGGUGGGGUAAAGGCUCACCAAGCCAACGAUCUGUAGCUGGUCUGAGAGGACGACCAGCCACACUGGAACUGAGACACGGUCCAGACUCCUACGGGAGGCAGCAGUGGGGAAUUUUGGACAAUGGACGCAAGUCUGAUCCAGCCAUUCCGCGUGCAGGAUGAAGGCCCUCGGGUUGUAAACUGCUUUUGUACGGAACGAAAAGGUCUCUCUUAAUACGGGGGGCUCAUGACGGUACCAUAAGAAUAAGCACCGGCUAACUACGUGCCAGCAGCCGCCGUAA
rnacentral:rRNA from 1 species